CCUACGGGAGGCUGCAGUGAGGAAUAUUGGUCAAUGGACGAGAGUCUGAACCAGCCAAGUCGCGUGAAGGAUGACUGCCCUAUGGGUUGUAAACUUCUUUUAUAAGGGAAUAAAACGCGGCACGUGUGCCUUUUUGCAUGUACUUUAUGAAUAAGGAUCGGCUAACUCCGUGCCAGCAGCCGCGGUAAUACGGAGGAUCCGAGCGUUAUCCGGAUUUAUUGGGUUUAAAGGGAGCGUAGUUGGGUUGUUAAGUCAGUUGUGAAAGUUUGCGGCUCAACCGUAAAAUUGCAAUUGAUACUGGCAGGCUAGAGUACAGUUGAGGUAGGCGGAAUGCGUGGUGUAGCGGUGAAAUGCUUAGAGAUCACGAAGAACACCGAUUGCGAAGGCAGCUUACUAAACUGUGACUGACAUUGAUGCUCGAAAGUGUGGGUAUCAAACAGGAUUAGAUACCCUUGUAGUC
rnacentral:rRNA from 1 species